GAAAAACAUCUUGGACCCCGCAUGAUAGCCGCCGCUCUCUCGCUUUUCCAAAGCCCUAAAUUUCAAUUCUUAAACCCUAAUUUUGCAGCGUACCGCUUGCUGCCUAUAUAUAUCGUUCGGGCGCGAUUUCUGUCGCUCAUGCCUCCCUGCGACGGCUGUGCAUUCUGCGCGCUAUCAGAUCGGGAAUUCCUCCGAGAACUUGAUUAACAAACCCUUGGCUGUCUGAGCACACUUCUAAGGAAGUUUUCAUUUCAUUUUCUUGACUUCAUCGGUAUUUCCCCCCCUUCGACAUGACUCUUUUUUGAACGUGGUGUUCAAUUGGUUAAGAAAAUGGGCUCGUGAUGAUAUUUUAAUUAUCUUAGCGGAUUUCAGUGAGAUAUCCAUCAAUGAUCUGACUGUUACACACACUGAAGCCUAUUUUCUUUAUAACUAUUAUUUAUUUUAAUGUACCGUAUUGGAUUUUGAUUAGCAUGUUAGGCCCUUGUGUGUAACUUAUUAAUCUUUGGUGCGAUGAUAAGAAGAAACACUUGAACGUGUUUUAGGGCAGUGGACGUGACCACUCGGUUUCGCCGUGAGCCCAUACCUUAACGACUUCUCCUUCCACUGAGCAAUGUAUGUUAGUUAAUUUCCUUGAUUGUAAAGGCUAUUUAAAUUGUGA